rnacentral:rRNA from 1 species
GCGUGAGUAACCUGCCUCAUACAACGGGAUACCCGAGGGAAACUUCGGUUAAUACGGUAUAAGACCACACUACCGCAUGGUAGAGGGGUAAAAGGGGCAACCUGGUAUGAGAUGGACUCGCGUCGCAUUAGCUAGUUGGUGAGGUAACGGCCCACCAAGGCGACGAUGCGUAGCCGACCUGAGAGGGUGAUCGGCCACAUUGGGACUGAGAUACGGCCCAGACUCCUACGGGAGGCAGCAGUGGGGAAUAUUGGGCAAUGGAGGAAACUCUGACCCAGCAAUGCCGCGUGAAUGAAGAAGGUCUUCGGAUUGUAAAGUUCUUUAGUCAGGGAAGAAGUCAAUGACGGUACCUGAAGAAUAAGCUCCGGCUAACUACGUGCCAGCAGCCGCGGUAAUACGUAGGGAGCAAGCGUUGUUCGGAAUGACUGGGCGUAAAGGGUGCGUAGGCGGUUGUACAAGUUAGAAGUGAAAUACCCAGGGCUUAACUCGGGUGCUGCUUCUAAAACUGUAUGACUUGAGUGCAGUAGAGGUUAGUGGAAUUCCUAGUGUAGCGGUGGAAUGCGUAGAUAUUAGGAGGAACACCAGAGGCGAAGGCGGCUAACUGGACUGCAACUGACGCUGAGGCACGAAAGUGUGGGGAGCAAACAGGAUUAGAUACCCUGGUAGUCCACACUGUAAACGAUGGAUACUAGAUGU